UACGUAGGGUGCGAGCGUUGUCCGGUAUUAUUGGGCGUAAAGAGCUCGUAGGCGGUGUGUCACGUCGGCCGUGAAAACCUGCAGCUUAACUGUGGGCGUGCGGUCGAUACGGGCAUCACUGGAGUUCGGCAGGGGAGACUGGAAUUCCUGGUGUAGCGGUGAAAUGCGCAGAUAUCAGGAGGAACACCGGUGGCGAAGGCGGGUCUCUGGGCCGAUACUGACGCUGAGGAGCGAAAGCGUGGGGAGCAAACAGG
rnacentral:rRNA from 1 species